rnacentral:tRNA from 1 species
CCUGGUGACUUAGAUGGUAAAGCAUCUGCCUGCAAUGCAGGAGACCCGGGUUCAAUCCUGGGGUCAGGA